CAGGAAGCUCCAUUGCGGUAACAUCAUUUAGGGCAGGAAGAGAGUUUGCAACUAAAACAACUUCUGUUCCACGUCGGAGGAGUUCCCUUGCCAAGGGAAGCAUCCCUAGAACAACAUCAGCACCUGAAUUGUCCACAAAGAGAAGAGCUCUUUUAUGUGGAAGGGGUCUCUCGUCCCCAGAUCCUAACAUUCUCUCUCUGAAGACAUCAAAAUCAUCAACCCGCCAUGGCCUCUGCAUCUUG
rnacentral:misc_RNA from 1 species